rnacentral:rRNA from 1 species
GACGAACGCUGGCGGCGUGCCUAAUACAUGCAAGUAGAACGCUGAAGGAGGAGCUUGCUUCUCUGGAUGAGUUGCGAACGGGUGAGUAACGCGUAGGUAACCUGCCUGGUAGCGGGGGAUAACUAUUGGAAACGAUAGCUAAUACCGCAUAAGAGUAGAUGUUGCAUGACAUUUGCUUAAAAGGUGCAAUUGCAUCACUACCAGAUGGACCUGCGGUGUAUUAGCUAGUUGGUGGGGUAACGGCUCACCAAGGCGACGAUACAUAGCCGACCGGAGAGGGGGGUCGGCCACACUGGGACGGAGACAGGGCCCAGACUGCUACGGGUAGCAGCAGUAGGGAAACGUCGGCAAUGGGCGGGAGUCUGACCGAGCAACGCGGCGUGAGUGAGGAAGGUUUUCGGAUCGUAAAGCUCUGUUGUAAGGGAAGAACGAGUUUGAGAGUGGAAAGUUCACACUGUGACGGUAUCUUACCAGAAAGGAACGGCUAACUACGUG